rnacentral:rRNA from 1 species
UCCGUAGGCGGGCAAUUAAGUCAGGGGUGAAAGUCUGCGGCUCAACCGUAGGACUGCCCUUGAUACUGGUUGUCUUGAAUCGUUGUGAAGUGGCUAGAAUGAGCAGUGUAGCGGUGAAAUGCAUAGAUAUUGCUCAGAAUACCGAUUGCAAAGGCAGGUCACUAACAACGUAUUGACGCUGAGGACGAAAGCGUGGGGAGCGAACA